CGAAUUGCUAAAACAAAUGGAAAUAGGAUCUCACCUCAGUUCUCCGUACGGUCAUGUUGUAAAGCACGUUUCUGUUCAAGUUAAGCUGAUCACAUGCUGGUUUCUGGAAGAUUCUAAGCCCUUCCAAUGAAUGAAGACUACCUCAUCAUCCUGGAAUGCCACUUGUAUCAUAUAAACAUUCCAGCCAUGCCAACACAGGAUUUGUAGAGAAUAAGUCUACAUCAGCCAGCCAUGGACAAAGGUAGAGCUAUUUGUGGCUCAUAAUCUCCAAUAGCCCCACCUACUGCUCCAAAACACAAUGAAUUUCAACCAGGCACCUCGUUAGCUGAAUAGCUCGACCCAAAAUCACCCUGUCACUGACUGAGUCUUGUGGUGUUUGAAUUCCUUUAAUUAUUACAGCUCUUGAAUUUUAUCUUCAGUCCCUGUUUGACCUCAGAAGAGAAGCAGGACUCCAGGCAAGCAGCCUGACUCUGUCCACCAUUUUACCAUCGAACAGGUAGCAGCAGCAAGUGCUCUGUCCAGGUCAAUGGUCUGGCUUUCAUCUACACUAUGAACUACUGGAACAUUGGAACAUCUGUAUCUGUGCCUUCAAGACUAAUUCAUCUCUAUGUGCUUCCUUCCAUCAUGGAUGUCCUUGCUUCUAGAAACAGUUUCAACCUGCUAACCUCUGAAGGAAUAUGCCACUGGACUUUUGAUUCUGGACUCAUGUAAAACUAUAAUUCUUAUUUUUAUUGUGCUCUUGCCCUAUACCCCUUUCUUGCCCUAUACCCCUUUCUUUCCCUUAUCCCUCUUUUAUUGUAUAAAUGCAAAAAGGGACGGAUGUUGUGAAAUCCCUUUCCCACAUUGUGCGUGUGUAAAAUAAAUCAACCCUCUUAUUUUA